rnacentral:rRNA from 1 species
CCUACGGGAGGCAGCAGUGGGGAAUCUUGCGCAAUGGGCGAAAGCCUGACGCAGCAACGCCGCGUGCGGGAAGAAGGCUUUCGGGCUGUAAACCGCUUUCAGCAGGAACGAAAAUGACGGUACCUGCAGAAGAAGGAGCGGCCAACUAUGUGCCAGCAGCCGCGGUGAUACAUAGGCUUCAAGCGUUGUCCGGAUUUAUUGGGCGUAAAGAGUUCGUAGGCGGUCGAGUAAGUCGGGUGUGAAAAUUCUGGGCUCAACCCAGAGACGCCACCCGAUACUGCUUAACUUGAGUUCGAUAGGGGAGUGGGGAAUUCCUAGUGUAGCGGUGAAAUGCGCAGAUAUUAGGAGGAACACCGGUGGCGAAGGCGCCACUCUGGAUCGAUACUGACGCUGAGGAACGAAAGCAUGGGUAGCAAACAGGAUUAGAUACCCUGGUAGUCCAUGCCGUAAACGGUGGGCACUAGGUGUGGGAUUCUAUUAACGAAUUCCGCGCCGUCGCUAACGCAUUAAGUGCCCCGCCUGGGGGAGGUACGGUCGCGAGACUAAACUUAAAGGUAAAGUUAGACGGCGUGAGACGUAGCCGACGGACGACGACGACGGGAGGUAGG